rnacentral:lncRNA from 1 species
UGUGGCAGAUUUCAGAGGCCCUUAAAAUGAGGCCAAGUGAGGUGGACAGGUCCGAGCCAGCUGAGGACUCCUCAGCCACACGGCACAGCUGCCUGAGGGGAUGUGUCACUCAGGGAGUUGCUGGGACCUACUGGGCCCAGCGUUGCCAUCAGCACCAACAGCUUCAGAGAGGGGGACAUAUGCUGGGGUGACUCCAAGGCUGUGGGCGGCACCUGCCUCAGAUAGAGAACAGGCACAGAGACACUACUGGGGGACACUACUGGGAUACUGGCCACCCCCCUGCCCUGUGCCUGGGUCACAGCCUACACACUGCAGCCCUGUGCCCCUCACACCCAGCAGGUUCCUGCUCCAGCGUGGCUCCUGGACUGGCGCCAGAUGCUGGCCCUGGGGGUUUCAAUCCAAGCAUAAUUCAGUGAAGCAUGUGUUUGGCAGUGGGACCCAGCUCACUGUUUUAGGUCAGCCCAAGACUACCCCGUCGGUCAUUCUGUUCCUGCCGUCCUGUGAGGAGCCCCAAGCCAACAAGGCCACACUGGUGUGUCUCAUGAAUAACUUUAUCCGGGAAUCUUGAUGGUGACCUGGAAGGCAGAUGGUACCCUCAUCACCCAGAGCGUGGAGAAGACCACGCCCUCCAAACAGAGCAACAACAAGUACGUGGCCAGCAGCUACCUGAGCCUGACGCCCGAGCAGUGGAGGUCCCGCAGAAGCUACAGCUGCCAGGUUAUGCAAGAAGGGAGCACCGUGGAGAAGUCAGUGGCCCCUGCAGAAUGUUCAUAGGUUCCAGCCCCCACCCCACCCACAGGGGCCUGGAGCUGCAGGAUCCCAGGGGAGGGGUCUCUCUCUGCAUCCCAAGCCAUUCAGCCCUUCUCGCUGUACCCAGUAAACCCUCAAUAAAUAUCUUUGUCAGCC